GCUAUAUUCACCUCUUGGACCAGAUCCUGUGCUCCACUUAGGACUAAACCAAGAAUUGCAUCUCCUUUUGUGUGUUCCCGGACUAGCUGCUCCAAGAAGCACUCCAGAACAAGCCUGGG